GACGAACGCUGGCGGCGUGCUUAACACAUGCAAGUCGAACGGAAAGGCCCUUCUUUUGUGGGGUGCUCGAGUGGCGAACGGGUGAGUAACACGUUAGUAACCUGCCCUUGACUUUGGUAUAACUUCAGUAAACUUGGGUUAAUACCUGAUAGGAGCUCCUUCUUCAUGGUGGGGGUUGGAAAGUUUCGGCGGUUGGGGAUGGACUCGCGGCUUAUCAGCUUGUUGGUGGGGUAGUGGCUUACCAAGGCUUUGACGGGUAGCCGGCCUGAGAGGGUGACCGGCCACAUUGGGACUGAGAUACGGCCCAGACUCCUACGGGAGGCAGCAGUGGGGAAUAUUGCACAAUGGGCGGAAGCCUGAUGCAGCAACGCCGAGUGCGGGAUGACGGCCUUCGGGUUGUAAACCGCUUUCGCCUGUGACGAAGCAUGAGUGACGAUAAUGGGUAAAGAAGCACCGGAUAAAUACGUG
rnacentral:rRNA from 1 species